UGGGUUGUAGCUCAGUGGUAGAGCCCUUGCCUAGCAUGUGUGAGGCACUGGGUUUGAUCCCCAGCACCACAU
rnacentral:tRNA from 1 species